GAUGAACGCUGGCGGCGUGCCUAAUACAUGCAAGUCGAGCGAACGGACGAGAAUCUUGCUUCUCUGAUGUUUGCGGCGGACGGGUGAGUCACACGUGGAUAACCUACCUAUAAGACUGGGAUAACUUCGGGAAACCUGAGCUAAUACCGGAUCAUAUUUUGAACCGCAUGGUUCAACAGUGAAAGACGGUCUUGCUGUCACUUAUAGAUGGAUCCGCGCUGCUUUAUCUAGUUGGUAAGGUAACGGCUUACCAAGGCAACGAUGCAUAGCCGACCUGACAGGGUGAUCGGACACACGGGAACUGAGACACGGUCCAGACUCCUACGGGAGGCAGCAGUAGGGAAUCUUCCGCAAUGGGCGAAAGCCUGACGGAGCAACGCCGCGUGAGUGAUGAAGGUCCUCGGAUCGUAAAACUCUGUUAUUAGGGAAGAACAUAUGUGUAAGUAACUGUGCACAUCUUGACGGUACCUAAUCAGAAAGCCACGGCUAACUACGUG
rnacentral:rRNA from 1 species